rnacentral:rRNA from 1 species
UACAGAGGUCCCAAGCGUUGUUCGGAUUCACUGGGCGUAAAGGGCGUGUAGGCGGUCAAGUAAGUGGAAUGUGAAAGCCCCCGGCUUACCCGGGGAUCUGCAUCCCAAACUGCUUGGCUUGAGUACGGGAGAGGAUAGGGGAAUUCCUGGUGUAGCGGUGAAAUGCGUAGAUAUCAGGAGGAACACCGGUGGCGAAGGCGCCUAUCUGGCCCGAUACUGACGCUGAGGCGCGAAAGCUAGGGGAGCAAACGGG